rnacentral:rRNA from 1 species
GAUGAACGCUAGCGGCAGGCUUAACACAUGCAAGUCGAGGGGUAUAGUUCUUCGGAGCUAGAGACCGGCGCACGGGUGCGUAACGCGUAUGCAAUCUACCUUUUGCAGAGGGAUAGCCCAGAGAAAUUUGGAUUAAUACCUCAUGGUAUGUGAGAAUGGCAUCAUUUUCACAUUAAAGUCACAACGGCAAAAGAUGAGCAUGCGUCCCAUUAGCUAGUUGGUAAGGUAACGGCUUACCAAGGCAACGAUGGGUAGGGGUCCUGAGAGGGAGAUCCCCCACACUGGUACCGGGACACGGACCAGACUCCUACGGGAGGUAGCAGUGAGGAAUAUUGGACAAUGGGCGCAAGCCUGAUCCAGCCAUGCCGCGUGCAGGAUGACGGUCCUAUGGAUUGUAAACUGCUUUUGUACAGGAAGAAACACUGGUUCGUGAACCAGCUUGACGGUACUGUAAGAAUAAGGAUUGGCUAACUCCGUGCCAGCCGCCGCGGUAAUAC